CAGCCGAGUUAGAGGUUUGCACAAGUUGCGAGGGUGGGGGUAGGGUUUUGAGGGGGGGGGUGUGGAGGUGGGGUGAUUAAAAGAGAGAAAAAUUAUAUCUGGGUCCAGGAAUAACGAAAGGCUUCCUCUAAAAUAGUCUUGAGCAAAGAAAAGGGAUUUAAAAAGAGGUGAUUUUGAGUUACAGGAGAUGCCAGGAGGCAGGCACGCGAGGGUGUAGGGCGGACCAGGCUGGGAGGUUCACCAGGUGGAAACCCGGGCGGGGCGGGCGGCGCAGCGAGCGCGGGGUGGGCGGGGCCUCUCCGAGCCCCGCCCCGGGCCCGCCCCGGGGCCCGCCGCGUCUUCCCGUGAGAGGUGGGGGGCGGGUCCGGCCGCGGAACCUGCGCCUGCGCCCGCGCUGCGGACGCGGCGACCGGUUUUUCUGACCCAGCUGGAAGGGCCGGCGCAGGUGGCCUCGAGUGCGUGUUCCUCUUGGCCUCUGAUGUCUGCGAGGGGAAUUCAGCAACAGGGACUCCUGUCUGGUGCUCUGACCCCAGCUUCCUCAAUCCAGGCUCUAGAGAGGCGCCCUCAGCCGAGCCCCGGGGUCCCGCGGGCCGCGGACCCUCCCUCCCUUUCCCUGCUCUGCACCCCGGGCCGGCGCUCCGUCCUGGGCGGAUGCCCCUCUGCGCCCUGUGGGCCCGCGCCGGCGCUUGUCCCCGUCCCGACCUGGGUUGGCCAUCACCCUGCGUUGGGUCGGGUAAGCACCAGUCUCCCCACCCCCCCUCCCCCCAGCUCUGACACCGCUUCUGUUUUAAGACCGCGCGUCGUGAGGCAUCCAGGGCGUGUUACGGGACGAACGCGUGAGUGUGUGAUGCCCGCGUGCCUCGGGCAGAGCGCCCCUUCCCCAUGGCCGUGAGCAGGUGGAGAAAACACCGUCAGGGGGCAUCUCCAGGGCAGGAGUGGGGCCUCCUCCCCGCUGGGGCCCGAGCCGAGCCUCUCCCCCCAGGCGCACAUCCCACAGCGCAGGUGUGCCGCCCCUAGCCUGUCCUCAGGCAUUGAGUCCCCAAGCUGGGUGAGGCCUGGGGCGGGGGAGGAGGAAGCAGCUCCAACACGCAGAGGAAAGGCUCUUUCCUACCGAUUUGGGGCUGGUGAGGGUGGUGGCAGUCCGGGCCCCCGCGUCUCGGGACUGCCUGCCCUCAGAACAGGAGCUGGGGGACCUGUGACUGGGACAGUGCCCUGUAUUUCAGGGCUGCGGAAGGCAGCUCUGACUUCUUCAACAUUCCUGGAAAAUGACCUCAAUUUUCUGGAAGAGGGAAGGAGGAUCUGGUUCUUGGAACAUUCCCACUUCUUCACACAGAUGCCACUCAGUUGCACGUGAAGGCUGGGGCAUCUGUGGUCAGCACUGGCCACCGCCCGCGGUCAGGCUGUCCCCAGCCAGGGAGCCCAGCCCUGGCUCAGCUCCUGCGGUGGCGAUCCGUCCAGCGGCUCUGCGUGGACCUGCCUGCUCUCUCAUGCCUGUCCUGAGCCUCCUUGACCGGAAGCCGGUCAAGCAGGCCAGUAACGGUCCUGGGGGCUUCCUGGGGGAACUCUGUUAUGCUGUAAAUGGCGUCCUCGGGCUGCUGUGUCCCAGGGCUGACUGGCCACCUGCCACCCAUCUUUCUCUCUUCUGCCACUGUGCCUUUCCUGCGUGUGGCCUCUCUGACCAAGUCCUGCUGAGCAGGGAAGGACUAAGAGGUUAAGCAAGGGCAGGAGGAAGGUGGGGGUGGAAGGGCUUGCCACCUCUGGGCUCUGGGACCAUGUUGUGACCAAGGAGGAUAAGUGUCAGUGGAUCCGUUUGGUGUCAGAAAAAGCAGGCGCCCUGGCCCUUUUCUGGAGGUGCUGGGAUCUUUUCUCCAUCUUUCCCUCCAGCAGGUGCCUCUGGCCUUGGUGUUAUUCUUGCUUCCCUCCAGGGUGUCCUCAUCCUAGAGGGCCGUCUGGGGGGUCCUCUGGGACCUUGGGUUGGCGGUGUCUCGGGGCCGCAGUCCACUUCACCUGAGCCCUUUGUGGCACGUGGCUCUCUCACGAUUCCCCAGCGGGACUUGGGGCUUUGUUGCUGCAUCUGGCUGUACCCGGGAGGCACUGACAUGUCUGUUCACCGCUUGAUCCGCAGGGGCUGUGUUUGUGCUUUCUGGCAUUGUAUUCGGCCCCGAGCGCUUACUGGACACUCAACAAAUGGCUGUCCCUUCUCUGGCUGCUGUCUGCUAGCCCUCUCACCAGCCUGGGCUCUGUCACUCGGCCUGUCUGCUUUAAGGAAUACUCAGUCUACCCCAGCACACUCCCUCUGCUUGAAGAGCGGGUGAGUUCUCUGAGUGUCUCUCCAAGCCCCGUCUCACAUCCUCUCCCCCUCUCCUGGCUUUCGGUUCACAAAGGGCUGCCCCAGGUCCUCCCAUGUACACAGAGGUGCUGCAAUUUCCAGAAGAAUCCUGGGGCCCGAAGAACCCACCCAGCAGGCAGUCGGCCCCAUCACCCCGCUGGCCAUUUCCUGGCCUCCCUAGGCCCUUCUCUCUACAAGCCCAGCUCUUGGGAACCCCGGCUCUUCCCUGCCAAAGGGGAAGGCCUCACCCCCACCUCUGUGACCCCAGGACAGUUUUGUUCCCCCUGCCUCAGCAGCUCUCCCACCUCUGGUAGGGUCAGCAGAUUCUCUCCUGCCUGUUGGGCACCCUGCUCCAGGCCACAUGAUCUGGGCCACGUCACAGCUACCCACAUAUCUGUUCCGUUGCAACCUGUGACCUUGUUCUCUAAGACAAGGCCGUAGGGUUUUCUCAUUUGCCCCAGAGUUACCUAAAGGGCUGUAGGGUGGUAGGCAGCCCCCAAACCCUGAGGGCCAGGGCAUGAUCUGAUGUGGUCACCCAAGGUUUCUCAAGGGAGCGUCAUGAAAAAUUUCUGAGUUCCACAUUGUCGCAGAACAAAAUAAAACCCUAAUUGCUUCACACCCUAUACCACCCUACCAGGGAUAAAAUCAGAGAUUGCACUGGGGGGGGCAGUGAUGGGUGCCUUUGUCACGGGGUGUGCAAAAUUGCGUGCCUGCCCUUUCCCCUGCCUAGCCCAGUUCCCUGAACCCUGGGACGUAUGGAAAGUCACAAGUGUUUUUUCUCAUGCUCGCUUCGACAGCACGUAGACUAAAAUGGAAGCAACACAGAGAAGAUUAGCGUGGCCCGGGCGCUGGGAUGACACCCAGAUUCACGAGGCGUUCCAUAUGAAAAAAAUAAAGUCACAACUGAUUUUUCUUUUCAAGUCUGUUGACAAGUUGCAGAGUUUGCCUUCCGAAAGUGGAUGCUCCGUUCAGUUUAACGCAUUCAUUAAAUAAGUAGAAUUACUUGAGUCCCUGCUAUGGGCCAGACAGCAUGCUGCAUGGACCGUGGGGACACAACAGGGAGCAGGGCAGAGGCAGACCGCCCUCCCCGUCUUUGAAUUCAGCUCACAUCCCACUUCUGCCAUUUACCGGGUCACCUUGUGCAAGUCAUCGGAUCUCUCUGCGCUUCAGUGCUUUUUCCUAUCAGAUGAAGAUGGGAGUUCCUGCCUCACUGUAUUUGCCUGGCAAGUAGUAGGUGUUCAAUAAACGGCCGCUAUUCUCAUUGCUCUUUUCCAGGCUGGAAGGAGAAAGGUGUCCUCUUUCUGCUCAUGUGGAAAUUGCCUGGGAAGCUAGUAAGCUGUUGGCUCUGAAGGCAGUUGGCUGUCCUGAGUUUUCGAGUCCCUUGGAAGGAUUCUGGGGAGUUGGCCGAUUGGCUGCAGGUACCUGCCAGGCUGCGGGCCGUGCCGAGUGACCCGGAGUUGGGGCUGUCGCUAUGUCCUGUUCUAAUUUCUGUUUCUCUGUGUGCUUUGUAAUUGGGCCACUCUUUCAGUCGGCUAGAGCAGUUAAUGACCUUGAGAAAUGAUCCCAGCCCUGAAUAUAGAAUCCUGCUCUUUUGAAGUCACCCACUUCCUUUGUGGGUCUAAACGUGUUUGUGUUUUCCCUCUCGGGCAUGCCUUCUCUUCCGCUUUGAUGCCCGCCUCUGUAACAACAGGGCUCGGAAUUAUUAAUUCCUACUGCGCAGUGAGGUGCAGUUUUAUUACACAGAAAGGGGGAAAAUAUAAUUGCUGUCUUGAGUAAUCAUUUUCUGAAGGCUGCAAGCAUAACCUUUCAUUAAUAUUUCAUUCGCGGCCAGGGUGGGUAACUUGAAUAGGCCUAAAAAUAUUGUCCCCUUUGCAUGGCGAGAUCAGGAGCUGGGAGCCAGUGGCUCUUCAGUUGUUUGCAAUUAUUUCUAAAAUUAAAAACGUUUAACCCAUUAACCCAUAAAAAAGCAGACGAGAGACUUACAGAGACACAGCUUUUUACUGAUUGGGGUAAAGGUGCAAAUCCCAGGCAUAACGCAUCUCAGCCCCUCCAUUUGGGAGUCAUCUCACUGCCCUCGCAGUGGAUUUGGGGCAGGGGGUGUGGGAGCCAGUGACUCACUGAUCGAAGCGAGGCCGCCAGGUCAUGUCCUAUAGGUGCCGUGAGGCCGGACAUUCGCAGGUCACUGGGUUUGAGGAUGCCGUGGGAAGUGCCAUGGUCUUUGAUGUUCCCUGGAGAGAGGCACUUGAAGCCUUCAAAGUGUCUCCCUGGAGAGAGCCAAAAGCUGAUUCUCAGGUUGGGAACUGGGGAGACUCUGCUCUUGGGGCAGAGAGGAGGCAGGCCAGUGGGGAGGGCAGGAGCUGAGCAGGUGGAGGGAGUGUUUCGGAGCCUCGGUGAUUGCUGGCCGUUUUGGGCAGCUUCCUUCAGCUUCCUUCCCAGUCCUGGGGAGUCCAGCUGGUUGGGGACCCAGUGGUGGCUCCUGGGUGACUGAAGUCCCCGCUUUUCAUGUCCUCACACUAUUUCACAGACCCGAGUUCAUCUGACGAUGUGAACAGCCCCCUGAGACCUGCAGGAAUGUGAUGACAUCAGUCCUUGUCCCCCUCGCUGGUCCACUUUAGCUCAUGGCAUCCUCUGACGACCUCCCUGGAAGGAGACGCUCCCUUACAGAUGGGGAAGCUGGGCCUUUUGGCUGAAGUCAUUGAUUCCCGA
rnacentral:lncRNA from 1 species